rnacentral:tRNA from 20 species
GGCGAAGUAGCUCAGUUGGCUAGAGCAUUCGGUUCAUACCCGGAGUGUCAAGAGUUCAAGUCUCUUCUUCGCUACCA